CAAAAACAUCGCCUUUAGUAAAAAUAUUAAAGGUCCAUUCUGCCCUAUGAAAUUAUUUUAAAUGGCCGCGGUACCCUGACCGUGCUAAGGUAGCAUAAUAAUUUGCCUCUUAAUUAGAGGCUAGAAUGAAAGAACAUACGAGAGUAAAACUGUUUCACUUUUAUUUUAUGAAAACUAAUUUUUAGAUGAAGAAGUCUAAAUAUAAAAAAAAGACAAAAAGACCCUAUUGAGCUUCACCUUCUCUCAAAUUUUUAGAAUAUAAAUUUUACCUAAUAAAAAAAUUGUAAUAGGUUUUGUUGGGGCGACAAAAGAAGAUUUAAAUCUUCUUUAUAAACUUAGGUUAUAAACCUUCUAUUGAUCCGAAUUAAAUCGAUUAAAAGAUUCAGCUACCCUAGGGAUAACAGGCUAAUUUUCUCUGAGAGCCCAUAUUGACGAGAAAGAUUGGCACCUCGAUGUUGGCUUAGG
rnacentral:rRNA from 1 species